ensembl:lncRNA
AUGGUGUUUUGGUCUUUUUGUAGCCAUCCUACCAUGGAAACCAAGCCAGAGAGACACUCCAUGAUCAACGGCCCGUUGAUUUCCGUGCCUCACAGAGACACAAUCCGUCUGCUGGAGGUUUACGUCAAGCGCAGCAUCAGCUUAAAUGACGGGAACCUGAUAGAGAAGAGAAAGGAGAGGAAGGAAAAGUGGGUGACCAAGAAGCACCGCAGGCAUUCCAGUGACCCCUCGCUUCACCUGGACGACCAGUUAAACGACGAGGAGGCCAGCACGGUGGUGGAGCCCCUCCCGGUCCGGUCUGGUCCGCUUCCCAGCGAGGUGUCCUCCGCGAAGCCCGGCAAAAAGUCCAAGAAGACCAAGAAGCCCUCGUUUUGGAAAGGUCUGUUCAGCAUCUUCAGCCGGAAGAGCAACGAGGACAAAGACGACGAGCCGGACAGCGGCCCGGAGGCGCCCGACGCCUUCGAGGACGACAACGUGUCCACUGCUCCGACCAACUGCCUGCCGACACCCACCAUCACGUUACAGAAGAAGAAGUCGUUGAGGAGAAAGUCCAGCAGAAGGAGGGCCUCCAAAAAACACCGCUCUCUGAUUAAACCAAAUAAACUGAGUCAAGACCACAACUUGGCCGACAUCACUGGAGUGGAAGCUGUGGAACCUACGUAUUCUUACUACGAGAAGGUGUCAGAGGAACUGGAAAAAAUAGUCCACGAAGUUAAAGUCAAAGAGGAAGUUCGACCUCUUUUAGAUGGUAAAAGCCUAUUGUUUUGUGUUGAUACAGUAACAUUCUGCUAAAAUACCUUCAGUCGACCAUUUUAACUGCAUUUGAAAAAUGUGUUUAUUGUCAAUGGCCUUAUUUCCCUUUCACUUCUGUUUCAUUCUCAGAGGAAUUAAUGAACAGGAUCCUUGCUCUGACGAAGGAGGAGAGCGAUGCCAUAGACGACAAGGUUGGUUCACUGCUGUUUGGGAAAUAAUAACAGGGUUCAAAGUGCACAAUGGUUCCUAAUCAGAUCAGAUUGAGAAUAUGUCUGAUGAGUUUUUAACAGCCAGGUUGUCAAAGCCGCUUUAGCAAAAGCACAAAGAGUUACCCAUUAAAACGACCAUAAAGUCUGCGAAUCUGCUCUCUGCUUCCUGAAAACACUUUGACAGAAGAAGCCUAGAAACCAGUGACGACAGCACAGAUAACAGAGGCGAUAAAAGCAAGAGACAGUCAGGUGUAGAACAGUGCUAUGCAAAACAUGGUGUUGAGGCAUGUGGUUUCACUUUAUUAUGGAUAAAUGUCCAGUGUACAAUGGACAAGUACCCAUUAUUUUGUGUUUAAGCCAUUUAUUAGUGUUGCUUUACUCAUAAUAAUGGAUAAUGUUUAUUGUGCUGACACUUUUUCUUAUUUUUGCAGCUCAAAGAUAAUUCCACCCUGAACAACUUCUUCCAGGGCAUGUCGUACACCUCCUUCCAGCGCUUGGCUGACGCCUACCUGGAGAAGGAAGCGCCGCCGACCACCGAGCCUCUCACCGUCUUACCAACAGCACCCGAGCUGGUCAAACUGGCAUUCACGCUGGACUUCACGGCCAGGAUCGCCGGGCUCUCCAGGCAGAAUCUGAGUCACAUCACGUGUCUGGGGAACCGCUACCUGCAGGACAGAUUCGAGUACAAACAGGUGAGCAUCAUCAUAUGAAACAGAUGGGAACGCUGAGUAUUAAAGAAACGUACGGGGCUCAGAGGGAUUCAGCUUUUUCAUGUUCUGUUGUCUCAUGAUGGUGCUUGAUUUGCAACCCCCUCUGUUGUCUCACAGGCGUGCACGGAUCAUCCCUGGUCCGACUGCGAUGACUGAAAAACUGUGCAGAAUCAGAAACACUGGUGCAAUAAUAGGUGUCAAGUCUUGGUCCAAUAUCACAGAUGAGGUUAAAAACAUGUUGCAAGCAAAGGUCCCCUUUUGGGUAUUUUUAGAAUAGAGAACUGCCCUGAUGGUAGACCCGUUUUAUUUUCACUUUUGCAUUAGAUCACUUGUGUAGUAGUUCAACAUGAUGUGAAAAAUGAGCACUUGGCAGAUCUGGGUGUGUUGAAAUGUGGGACGAAACAGAGACACUAAAAAUGUCAAGACCAUCACUGUAAUAACUUUUAAUUAUUCCAAAGGACCUCGCAAUCAUUUCUUAAACUUAAGAUAAUAAGCUAAACAAAUAUGAACUAAGCUGUGACCUAAUUGUUGUUAUGAAUGCUGGCAUUCAUAUUAUAGAAUGAAAUAAAAGAUAUUUUUUAUAAUUCUGAGUUUUGAUG